rnacentral:rRNA from 1 species
GUCUAUGGCCAUGCCACUGUGAACAUGCCCAAUCUCAUCUGAUCUCGGAAGCUAAGCAUGGUCAGGCCUGGUUAGUACUUGGAUGAGAGACCACCUUGGAAUACCAAGUGCUGUAAGAG